UUGUCUAGACUCAGAUUGUAAAGAGAACAGAGUGAAUAGAUCACAACAGUAGAUGAUGAUGAAUUGUCAUGUGAUCUACCGUGACUGUCCACAAAAUCUAAUGGUUGUCAUAUCACUUCGUCCUCAUAUCCUGUCCAUGCAACUGUUUAUCAGUUAGUGUGAAGAUCAGGACAAAAUCCAGGGUAGGUUGUGUACUAGACAUCAUGAUUUAGAACCUUGAAUUAUCAAGAAUGCGACAAUGAAUCUGCACCAUUAACUCUAUAAAGUUAGCUGGACUUAAGACAAUCUGUGUCCUAGAGACUUGGAGAUUUGACUAAGUAGUAAAAAGUAUGACGAUGACCAGAAGGUAAACUAACUAAGGGGCCACACACGUGUGUCCAUGUGUAAGAAAUUGCAGUACAGACGAAAAAGCGUCAUUCUCUGGGAAAGACUAGCCAAUUGAGGUUAGAACAGAAAGGUCGGUGAACCUGGCGCGAGAACCCACUCUGCCCAUUUUUCUGAUUUUGGGCAUCUCACCUAUUUUGGGAGUUUCAUCGAGUGAUGCAUCAAGCAGGUGUAUCAAGAUAAUAAGAUUAGAGAUGAGAAGUUUUUAUAUUAAUGUGGUAUGUGUAAUAAACUGAAUGCGAAUUAUGAAAAUGAUGUCGAUCCCACUUGAGUCCAUCAAAUUUGACGGUCCAAAUUCAGUUCAACACAUUUAUUAAGUUCACCGGAUAGUUUCUCAACUAAAGAAAACUCGAUUUUGACAUAUAGGGGGGACUUUUUAUUUACCAAUAUGAUAUGACCAAUAGUUGGACAUAAGCUAACCGUCGUUGUACCCUAACAUUGUGCACACAAGCCAAUGUCUAGGAAAUACUUACAUAUAUUAAUUGGAUAGACUGUGCAUUAGGUGAAAAGCCUAUAUAGGUAGCCUAUAUAUAUUGAAGGUUGAGUCAAUGGUCGUAACUAUAUUCAAUAUACAUUUGCCGUUGGUUAGAUAAAAGAAAACCCUUAUCCCCUAUCCUAUUGGAGAAGUAAGCACCGAACAAGAAGCACCUACCAGUCUAACCGUACGUUGGUGCUUUGGUAAAUCAACUCCUUGGUCAAAUAAGUGGUAAAAAAAACAGAUUAUACUAGCUGCUAACUGGAGAUAAAAUCUAAAGCCUUAGUAAGGCUGACUCGCAUAGUCCAGAGACAUAGGUAGGCGUUGCCGACUCCUAAACUACAAAGGACAAGACUUACAUUUCAUAGUGACAAAUGCUAAAAGAUGGAGAAAAGAUGAGGUACUUUCCUUGUCGUUCCUUGUAAGUCCGAAUUUUCGAAGCUAAGCAUGCCGGGUUUACGUGAUUACAGCGCAAAAGUCUGCAAGUGUAAGGGCUGCGGUCGACUGUUAGGCUCACAAGAAGCUGGUGCACCUAAAAAAAGCAUUACCAAACCUUGGUACUGCCUUAAAAAGGAAAUUUGCUUGUCUGUCUGUUCCCAUGGGUGUCUAAGGAGACUUUGCACAUGUAUUUCUUGGGAUAAUACUCAAGGGUAACGUGCAUGCGUGAAUGUUUGCAAAGAGCCGUCAACUACUUUCCCAUGCGCUGCUUAAAGGGUAGCUUUAAAAUGGUUAGACGUUGCAUGUUAGAGCUAGGCUGGGGCGUCUUAAGGUUAGGGUUUCGCAAAUGUAGAGUUUGAAGGUCGAACAGUCAACGAAUGUGAGGUUAUGAACGGAAGGACUGGUCAUUUGGCAUGGCAUUGCAUGGAAGUCAACACCUACUGUCUCUCUCUCUCUCUCGACCAUUCUGUCGUCAUCGUCACCAGCUGCAAGAUCAGCACAAAGCUCGCUUGUUUGAAGACCAGCGUGGAAAGAAACGUGAGAGAGUCAUUACGGACUCCGCGGCGAUUAAGUUUGGAGGGUGCGAGGAAUGAGUAGAAAUAUGUUGCUUUCCACAUGAGCAAGGACAACCUUACCUUAUGUUUUCUAAACAUUGGAGAUCCCACGAGUACAUCUUCUCGAGUCCUACUUCAUCGACUCAUUGCAAAAUGCAACAUCGGGUCACCUUCAACAUCACGUGGCAUGUGACCUACAAGUACAUAUACUAAUUGUCAUGUUAUUUGUUAAAAGCAGAGCUGCAGAUUAUAGGGAAA